GUAGUCGUGGCUGAGUGGUUAAGGCGAUAGACUUGAAAUCCAUUGGGGUCUCCCUGCGCAGGUUCAAAUCCUGCAGACUACU
rnacentral:tRNA from 2 species